rnacentral:rRNA from 1 species
GACGAACGCUGGCGGCGUGCUUAACACAUGCAAGUCGAUCGGUAAGGCCCUUCGGGGUACACGAGUGGCGAACGGGUGAGUAACACGUGGGUGAUCUGCCCUGCACUUCGGGAUAAGCCUGGGAAACUGGGUCUAAUACCGGAUAGGACCACUGCCUGCAUGGGUGGUGGUGGAAAGCUUUUGCGGGGUGGGAUGGGCCCGCGGCCUAUCAGCUUGUUGGUGGGGUGAUGGCCUACCAAGGCGACGACGGGGAGCCGGCCUGAGAGGGUGACCGGCCACACUGGGACUGAGAUGCGGCCCAGACUCCUACGGGAGGCAGCAGGGGGGAAUAUUGCACAAUGGGCGCAAGCCUGAUGCAGCGACGCCGCGUGGGGGAUGACGGCCUUCGGGUUGUAAACCUCUUUCAGCACCGACGAAGCACAAGUGACGGUAGGUGCAGAAGAAGGACCGGCCAACUACGUGCCAGCCGCCGCCGUAACAC